GACGAACCGUCCAAACGUUAUUCGGUAUCACUGGGCUUAAAGCGUGCGUAGGCUGCCUUAAGGGUGGGGUGUGAAAUCCCUCGGCUCAACCGAGGAACUGCGCUCCAAACCGUAAGGCUAGAGGAAGGCAGGGGUAAGCGGAACUGAUGGUGGAGCGGUGAAAUGCGUUGAUAUCAUCAGGAACACCGGUGGCGAAAGCGGCUUACUGGGCCUUUUCUGACGCUGAGGCACGAAAGCUAGGGGAGCAAACGGG
rnacentral:rRNA from 1 species